GGGUCAGUAGGUUGGUCGUGCCACCGGUACGUACUGGUCUCACUGAUUCCUCCUUCCUGAAGAACCGUAAUGCCAUUAAUUUGGUGGUGCGGGGAAACAGGACUGUUACUUUGAAAAAAUUAGAGUGUUUAAAGCAAGCUAACGCUUGAAUACAUUAGCAUGGAAUAAUGAAAUAGGACGAUCGAUCCUAUUUUGUUGGCUUCUAGAAUUGACGUA
rnacentral:rRNA from 1 species